CAGCAGCCGCGGUAACACGGAGGGUGCAAGCGUUGUCCGGAUUUAUUGGGCGUAAAGGGCUCGCAGGCGGUUUCUUAAGUCUGAUGUGAAAGCCCCCGGCUCAACCGGGGAGGGUCAUUGGAAACUGGGAAACUUGAGUGCAGAAGAGGAGAGUGGAAUUCCACGUGUAGCGGUGAAAUGCGUAGAGAUGUGGAGGAACACCAGUGGCGAAGGCGACUCUCUGGUCUGUAACUGACGCUGAGGAGCGAAAGCGUGGGGAGCGAACAGGAUUAGAUACCCCCGUAGUCCCUGUCUCUUAUAC
rnacentral:rRNA from 1 species